AAUAGAUACCCGGGUAGUCCACGCCGUAAACGAUGAGUGCUAAGUGUUAGGGGGUUUCCGCCCCUUAGUGCUGCAGCUAACGCAUUAAGCACUCCGCCUGGGGAGUACGGUCGCAAGACUGAAACUCAAAGGAAUUGACGGGGGCCCGCACAAGCGGUGGAGCAUGUGGUUUAAUUCGAAGCAACGCGAAGAACCUUACCAGGUCUUGACAUCCCGCUGACCGGCCUAGAGAUAGGUUUUUCCCUUCGGGGACAGCGGUGACAGGUGGUGCAUGGUUGUCGUCAGCUCGUGUCGUGAGAUGUUGGGUUAAGUCCCGCAACGAGCGCAACCCUUGAUCUUAGUUGCCAGCAUUCAGUUGGGCACUCUAAGGUGACUGCCGGUGAUAAACCGGAGGAAGGUGGGGAUGACGUCAAAUCAUCAUGCCCCUUAUGACCUGGGCUACACACGUGCUACAAUGGACGGUACAGAGGGUCGCAACCCCGCGAGGGUGAGCUAAUCCCAUAAAACCCGUUCUCAGUUCGGAUUGUAGGCUGCAACUCGCCUAC
rnacentral:rRNA from 1 species